AGCAAAGGAAAAGGAGAAGAACACAAGUGAAACACUCUAAACUCUCAUUCAAACUUUAUUCCGUCAUAAUUUUUGAUCCAUAGCUCUGAUUGACGAGCCAUCAGUGGCUACGCGUUCGUCUCAGAAUCCUCUACGAAACCCACCCAACAAUUUGGUGUGCUCAAGUAGUGCGGAAUCACUGAGCCUUGUCCCAAUUCUCCGUUGGUAAGAUGAAAUUAUAUAUAUUGGUGGCAAAUUUGUGGAGUUGGAAGCUGAAUUUUCUAUUUGGAGAGAUUUGGAGCUUUGGGUUUUAUGGAACGGUGGUCAAUUGUGGUGUUCCGAGUUUAGAGAAGAAAUUGGCCAAGAUGCAGGUUGAGAAGGACCACUCUAUAUUCUGGAGACUCGGGUGAAGCGAAGAACUCUUGGGGCUCAGGGACGUAUUUUGCUUAUAUUUAUGUAUGUAUAUAGAUUCUCCACCUUGUAUUUUCUGUUUGUCCCUCUUAGAGGUUGGCUCGGAGAAACAGAUUGUCAUUUUCUGCUUUGGGUCAUUUUGGGAUUCUCUUAUAUAUAUGUAUGUAUAUACUU